GGAUGAUUCUGUGGUCGAUUCAUCAGCACUAGCUGUGGAGGUCACUGAUGUGACCGUCGUAGCAUUGGAUGAUUCUGUAGUUGAAGCAUAGGCACUUGCUGUCGAGGUCCCUGAUGUGACCGUCGUAGCGUUGGAAGACUCUGUGGUCGAUUCAUCAGCACUAGCUGUGGAGGUCACUGAUGUAACCGUCGUAGCAUUGGAUGAUUCUGUAGUUGAAGCAUCGGCACUUGCUGUGGAGGUCUCUGAUGUGACCGUCGCAGCGUUUGAAGAUUCAGUGGUUGACGCCUCUGCACUUGUCGUGGACGACUCCGACGAGACCGUUGUAGCGUUGGAUGACUCUGUGGUCGAUGCAUCGGCACUUGCUGUGGAGGUCUCUGAUGUGACCGUCGUAGCGUUUGAAGAUUCAGUAGUUGACGCCUCCGCACUUGUCGUGGACGACUCCGACGAGACGGUUGUAG